UGUGCCUCCCCAGGGGUCCCACAGCUGAGGACGUGGCUGAGCUGGUACCGAUGUCUCCAGGGUCUUCCCGCUGUGACUUCGCUUCCCCAUAACGUGACUAGUCCCCCACUAAGGCCCUGGUGGACAACUGAGGAUGAGCAAGUCAAUGUGCUCAGUGUGGCCUCAAGGACUCACAACCGGGCCUGUGCAGAGACUUCCUCAUGGCACCCGAGGGGGUGAGCUGUCUAUUCCCCAGACUUCACAAUGCCCUUUGAACCAAGGCUACGUGAUCAUUGUUCAUGCCCUCUUUGGGACCAUUAGGGGGUGUUUUAGGCUGAACUUUGCCCCCCAUUCAUAUACUGAAGCUCUGCACCCCAGUACUUCAGAAUGUGACUGUACUGGGAGACACAGCCUUUAAAGGGGUGAUUAGGUUACAAUGAGGCUGUAGACGGAUGUCCUUAGAAGAAGAGGAAACACGGACACGCAGAGCAAAGACCAGCCAGGACUCAGCGAGAAGGCAGCCAUCUGCAAGCCACGAGAGAGGCCUCCAGAGAAACCAGCCCUGCCCACACCUUGAUUUCAGGGUUGUGCCUUCCCCAACUGAGAGAAAUACAUGUUUGUUGAGUAA